CAGCAGCCGCGGUAAUACGAAGGGUGCAAGCGUUACUCGGAAUUACUAGGCGUAAAGCGUGCGUAGGUGGUGGUUUAAGUCCGUUGUGAAAGCCCUGGGCUCAACCUGGGAAUUGCAGUGGAUACUGGGUCACUAGAGUGUGGUAGAGGAUAGUGGAAUUUCCGGUGUAGCAGUGAAAUGCGUAGAGAUCGGAAGGAACAUCUGUGGCGAAGGCGACUAUCUGGGCCAACACUGACACUGAGGCACGAAAGCGUGGGGAGCAAACAGGAUUAGAUACCCCGGUAGUCCCUGUCUCUUAUAC
rnacentral:rRNA from 1 species